AAAAGCCAUAUAUAUAUAUUUUCCUUAGUCAUCACCAUUGCCAUGUAUAUGUAUGUAUGUAUGUAAGUAUAUAUGUAUGUAUGUGUGUAUGUAUGUAUGUAUGUAAAUCCCUGUGUAUAUAUUGUCAAUACAUUGGGGAGGAGGAGGAGGAGGAGGAGGAGGAGAGGAGGAGAAGAGGUAUGAAGGAAGGAAGGGAGGUAUUUACAAGCUCCAUUAUUAUUAUUAUUAUUAUUAUUAUUAUUAUUAUUAUUAUUAUUAUUAUCAUUAUUACUAUUAUCGUCAUUAUUAUCUGUUCUGUAUCUUCUUUUCCUCUCUUCCUUUCCCUCUCUUCUCCUCCUCUUCUUCCUUCCUUCCUCCUUCUAUCUGCUGUUAACCCCUUCUUCCUCCUCCCUCCCUUCCCUUCUCUCACCCUCUCCUCUCUCUCCCUUUCUUCUUCUUCUUCCCGUUCCUUUCACACCUGUACAAAUCUUUUCAGUAACACGUCACACUUUCCACUUUUUCUUAAUCUUUCUACCUUUCGUUCCUCUUCUUAUUUCUAGCCUUUCACCUUUCGUUCAUAUCAUCAUUAUCAUCUUUGUAUCUUUCUUUACAACCACGGAAAACACCACCACUUCCUUAUUGCGUUGAUUGUAUAAGAAAUGUAUAAACUUCAAAUAAUACACGGUCUGUAUCUAUCAAUGAAUAAGGUUACGAUUCAUUCUUCUUAUUUUCUGACUGUACUUUUCCUUCUUUCGUCCUUAAAUAAAUAUAUAUACUCGGAAUUCUUGACUCUCUUUUGUCCACUCCUCUGUACUUCUGCGUCCCUAAAUUACUGAUUGUAAAUAGACGGAAAUAUGUUAACAGUAACAAUAAUAAAACGAUGACGAUGAUAAUUGUGACGAUGAUGAUGAUGAUGAUGGUAAUGAUAAUAAUGGUAAGAAAAUAAAAAUGAUAAUAAUAUAAUACCAAUGAUAAUAAGUGGCUGUCUUUACCUUGGAAGACAUGAUGCAAGUAUUACAUAUUCAUAAAGAAUAUCAUGAGUCACACACCACUGCGGAGAAAAAAGAUAAAGAAGAAAUCAAGGAAAAUAUUAGCAUGAAAAAAAAAAAAAUCUCUUCGUAAAUAACUGACUGAACGAAAAUAAGGACACAUUUCGUUCAUUUUCACGCACACACGAACGAACAUGAACAAUACGAACGUUCGCAAUAAAGUAAAUAAAUAAAUAAUAGUAAUAAAAAUCUGUGAAAUAUUUACAUUGUUAUUUUAUUUUUCCAUCAGGUCCGUUUUCCGUUUGUCCUUUUUCCAUAUUUCUUUUCAUUUAUUCUCUCUCUCUCUCUCUCUCUCUCUCUCUCUCUCUCAUCAUUAUCAUCAUCAUCAUCAUUUUUAUCAUCCAUUACUAAUAUACUAUACGAGAGAGGCCUUUCCCAACGUCCUCCAAUCUCUCUCUCUCUCUCUCUCUCUCUCUCUCUCUCUCUCUCUCUCUCUCUCUGUGUCUCUGUGUCUAUCUGUUGCACUUCAUAUCCAUCUUGUGUAAAUAUACGUGUGAAUAUAUGUUUACAUGGGAUAUACAACUACGGGAAGAGGAGGAGGAGGCGGAGGAGGAGGAGGAGAAAGAGGUGGAGGAGGAGGAGGAGGAAGAGGAGGAGGUUUGUCUAAGUUUCACCUGAGAAUUUCAAAUCUGUCAUGUCUGUAUAUGUUAAUUAUUUUCUUCAUUUAUUUUACUCUCAUUUCAUUUAUUUUCUCCUAAACAUGUAACUCUCUGGGCUUAAAAUACUGCCAGAAAGACACGUAAUAAAUGCUUACUGACUCACACACACACACACACACACACACACACACACACACACACACACACACACACACACACACACACACACACACACACACGCACAUGGUUAAUCAGUGUUAUGUAUGAGGGUAAUAAGUCCGGUGUGUGUGUGUGUGUGUGUGUGUGUGUGUGUGUGUGUGUGUGUGUGUGUGUGUGUAUUCCCUCAAUAACACACAAUACAAUCAUCACCAGUUUCAUUAUUACUUAGAACACACAAAAAAAUCUUUAUUAUUAUUAUUAUUAUUAUUAUUAUUAUUAUUAAAAUCACAUUCCUUUUUUAAUUUCCUUAUGAAAAACUAGCCAACAACAAUAUCAUAAUAAAUCACAAUGUUGUUUUUCUUUCGAUCUAAAAUAAUUAUAUAGUUUUUCAUAAUACUUUUAAUAACUUUCAAAAAACACGAAUCAUAACUUUUUUUGAGUAGGCCUAUUCAUAAAUUUUUAACAAGUAAUAUAACUCAGAUUUUUUUUAUCAAUUUACAUUUUUUUUGCGUCCCGCCUUAGGAUUUAUGAGUUUAAUUUUACCUUUAAUUAUUUUUUUUUGAUGUAGUUCGUAAAUGAUUUGAAUUUUUAAUGAUACUCUCUCUCUCUCUCUCUCUCUCUCUCUCUCUCUCUCUCUGUGUCCAACAUAAACGAUAGAGAAGAGGAACAUUAUAAAUAUCACACACACACACACACACACACACACACACACACACACACACACACACACACACACACACACACACACACACACACCUAAUCAUACCUUACCUAUAAUAUGGAUGCAAUAGUUAUUAAUGCAGACAAAAAGAGAGACCUUAAGAUUACACUAUUACAAUAUUCAUCUUUUUAAUUUAUUAUUUUUUACAUAUUUACAUCAUCGGUUUAAGAAGAAGAUAAGAUUCCUUUCCUCUUACGGUUAGAUUCCUUUCCUCUCUCUUUCUCUCUCUCUCUCUCUAUCGCAAAGUCGUAUAGAGUGAAGAUUCAGAACACAGCGAGAGAACACAAUAUUUAUUUUCCUGUUAUGCGUAAGAAGGAAAAAAAAUCUGUAUUGCAUUAUAAUAAAAAAGUCAGAUUCGCGGUAAAUGAAGAAAUGGCACAGUGGUAUAGCGGCUCACAGCGUCGACGUAUGGAAGUUAAGAAGCUAAGGGGAGGCAGUUCGAACCCCAGGAAGGGUAUAAGGUCUUCAACCCGAAGCCACAACCUUGAAAACAGCGACCUUAUAAUAUGAACAUGGGCAGAGGCGGUCAAGGCGAAGAAUUCAGUCACUCAGUAAUUAGCGCGUAAAUUGAGUUUCGCGAAGUCUGAAUCGCGUACAUUGAAUACAAAGUCGUUUAAAGGAGUAAAAGCCGUAUAAUUUGAAGUCUACAUCUCCCUAGUUACGUUUCAAGAAGUCUGAAUCGCAUAAAUUGAAUACCAAGUCGCUAAAUUCGAAAAUAUCAGGUCAGCCUCUUUCUGUGUAGCAAAAAAACGUACAGUCUGAAGUUUAAAUCGCCCAAGUUGUGAUUUAUGAAGUCUGAAUCGUGUAAAUUGAACGUCAAGUCGCUAAGUUCUAAAAUAUCAAGUCAGUCGCUUUCAAUGUAGUAAAAAAACACAUAAGUUGAAGUUUAAAUCGCCCAAGUUGUGAUUUAUGUAGUCUGAAUCGUGUAAAUUGAACGUCAAGUCGCUAAGUUCGAAAAUAUCAAGUCAGUCGCUUUCAAUGUAUUAAAAAAAAACGUAAGUUGAAGUUUAAAUCGCCCAAGUUACGUUUCCAAGUAGUCUGAAUCACGUAUAUCGAAUUUCGGGUCGCUAAAUUCGUAGUUACCAAUUCGCUUACAACGAAACUCAAAUCGCGUUCUUAGAAGUUAAACGGCGUAAUGUAAUUCGGUCUACAUCGCAAAAUGCUACAGCUAAAUCACGUUCUUGAGAAGUGAGAGUCGCGUUGUAGGGAAUCGAAAUCGCUUUAUAGGGAGUUGAAAUCGUCUUAUAAGGAGUCCAAAUCGUGUAGUCUGAAAACUUCGGUCGCGUAAAUUGAAAUCGCUUUAUAUAUAGGUAAUUUAGAUCGUCUUUAUAGGAAGUUCAAAUCGUGUAUAGUCUGAAAUCGCAUUAUUGGAAGUUUGGAGUAUGAUCGCGGUAUUGUAAGUCACUGUCGGGGAAGUUCGGUGAUUGUGGAAGUGAGUGAAGUUUGAAUAAGCGCGUAUGUAAGGCAGUUCUUGUUGUUAAGGAGAGUUUGUGUUCGUGAAGUUUUAGGUGUUCGCUGAGGUUUGCAUUGGUGAAGUUUAGUGUUCGUGAAAGAUUGUAUUGCUGAAGUUACUGAAUUUACUUAAGUUUGUAUUGGUAAAGUCAGUUGUUUAUUGAAGUUUGUGUUGGUGAAGUUAAGCGUUCACUGAAGUUUGUAUUAGUAGAGUUAGUUGUUUAUCAAAGUGUGUAUUGCUGAAGUUAGGUAUUCAUCGAAGUUUGUAAUGGUGAAGUUACCUUAUUCGCUGAAGUUUGAUGUAAGGAAUCGUGAAGUUUUGAAAAUAUGAGAUGGUGAAAAAUUGAUGUUGGUGAAGUUACGAGAAAAUGAAGUUGUUUUUGUUUUGCAUGAAGUUUUGCGUUGGUGAAGUUUGCCAUUUACUGAAGUUUGAAGAGAAGAUGAUAGAGAGGUAAAUAAGGAGGAGGAGGAGGAGGAGGAGGAGGAGGAGGAGGAAGCAUCUUGAUUAUAAUAACUUUGAUAUUUACAGUGCCAUCUUAACGUCACAUAAAUAUCACCAUCUCUCUCUCUCUCUCUCUCUCUCUCUCUCUCAACUAUCUUUCUCCACCUUUUUUCAAUUUAUUCAUUUUUCCUCUCUCUCUCUCUCUCUCUCUCUCUCUCUCUCUCUCUCUAGUAUAGUUAAGUACCGCACAAAAUCCAACACUACCCCGUUUUCUUUCCUUUUCCUCCCUUUCCCCUUGCAACACACUGAUAUACAAGCAACAUCAACAACGCAACACACGGCUGACACUUUGGCUUGCGAGGGGUCCGGCAACAUACAUUAUAACCCCUCUGUAGAAAGGAUUGGUUGAGUUGCCCCUUGAAGAUAUGCGGAGGAAAACGUGAUAUGGGUAUUCACUUUUUUCGUCUUUUCUUUUAUUAUCUUAUUCUCUCUCUCUCUCUCUCUCUCUCUCUCUCUCUCUC